rnacentral:rRNA from 1 species
AGUGAACGCUGGCGGCAGGCCUAACACAUGCAAGUCGAACGGCAGCACGAGAGAGCUUGCUCUCUUGGUGGCGAGUGGCGGACGGGUGAGGAAUGCAUCGGAAUCUACCUAGUCGUGGGGGAUACCGUAGGGAAACUUACGUUAAUACCGCAUACGACCUUCGGGUGAAGUGGGGGACCGCAAGGCCUCACGCGAUUAGAUGAGCCGAUGCCGGAUUAGCCAGUUGGUAGGGUAAUGGCCUACCAAGGCGACGAUCCGUAGCUGGUCUGAGAGGAUGAUCAGCCACACUGGAACUGAGACACGGUCCAGACUCCUACGGGAGGCAGCAGUGGGGAAUAUUGGACAAUGGGCGAAAGCCUGAUCCAGCCAUGCCGCGUGAGUGAAGAAGGCCCUCGGGUUGUAAAGCUCUUUUGUUGGGAAAGAAAACUUAUCGGUUAAUACCCGGUGAGAAUGACGGUACCCAAAGAAUAAGCACCGGCUAACUUCGUGCCAGCCGCCGCAGUAAGAC